AUAAUACUCCCUCCGUCCCAAAAUAAGUGUCUCAACUUUGUACUAACUCUAGUACAAAGUUGUACUAAGCUUGAGACACUUAUUUUGGGACGGAGGGAGUAGCAG
rnacentral:pre_miRNA from 1 species